GAAGUAAAUCGCCUUAUCGCAGUGGCAAUUAAAGUCUCUGAGGAAAGUCCGAACACCGUAGUGCAAUUAUAGUGGUUAACAGCCAUCCACCGUGAGGUGAGGAAAAGUGCAACAGAAAGAAUGUACAGGUCAUGCUGUAGUGAAAUCAGGUAAACUCUAUAAGGUGCAAUGCCAUGUAUACCAACGCUUGAGGGCUGCACGUCCGAUUGUUGGAGGGUAGGCAGCUAAAGUUUACUGGUAACAGUAAACGCAGAUAAAUGAUAAGGCCGUGACACGGUAACGUCGUCAUAGGACAGAAUUCGGCUUAUAGAUUUGCUUUUAUA
rnacentral:RNase_P_RNA from 2 species